GUUGUAUGGUUAAGUGACUAAGCGUACACGGUGGAUGCCUUGGCAGUCAGAGGCGAUGAAAGACGUAAUAACUUGCGAUAAGCCCAGAUUAGGUAGUAAUAACCUUUUGAGUCUGGGAUUUCUGAAUGGGGAAACCCACGUGCACAAGCACGUAUCUUGUUGUGAAUACAUAGCA
rnacentral:rRNA from 1 species